UCUUUAUUUCCGCUUUCCCUCUCAUUUCUUUUUCCCAACCCACUUUCCCUCUCAUUCUACUAAACUCUACAUAUCUAACCAAACCCUAACUCCCUCUCUUUUUCAAGCAAAGUUUCGGGGUUCUCAGAAUUCCCCCCAUCGUGACAUUCGUCACCACAGAAAAGCUAGAUGAAGAAAGGUUUGCGAAACUUUGGAGCGAGAAACUGAAAAUUCUCUCUUUUUUCACAGAUCAAAAUUUCUCUUUUAUUUUGUUUUUUAUUCCUACUCAUCUCAAGUCAGCUAAUGGUUGGUUCUGAUUCAGAUAUGGAGUAUGGAUUCGUGUGCUCAGACGAGGUGCCCUGUGAACAUGACUUUGAUUUUGAGAACCGAUACUACAACUCCAGAGAUCCUUAGGACACGUGCUCGUAAGAAUGUUGUCGUGAGUGAAAUCAAGGUCAACGUUUGCAUAUAUGGUUUUUAUAUCUUGUAUCUUAAUGGACAACCACUUCUUUAAGAGCAACUUAACGUUUGCAGAAGGUGCAGAUUCACCUCUCCCCACGACCAGAACACCAGAGAUGCACAACACGUGGGCCUUGUCUAACGAACGACGACUUUCGAUUCUUCACUUCAAGGAGUAGAGUCGCUGCCCAACCCUACCUAUAUAAAAGAAAAAGAAUCAAUCACUAGGUCUCGAGCAAUUCUACAUUCUUUCCAUUGGAGUCAAGGAAGGUUGUGGACAAGCUAGAAUAAAGGUAUUGAGAAAUUAAGAAGUCUUUAGGAGAAAAGAUGAUGUUAGAGAUCCUAGUUGGUAAAUGAAGGUCAAUCAAAGCAAUUCCAUAAAGGUAUUGAGAAAUUAAGAAGUCUUUAGAAGAAAAGAUGAUGUUAGAGAUCCUAGUUGGUAAAUGAAGGUCAAUCAAAGCAAUUCCAUAAAGGUAUUGAGAAAUUAAGAAGUCUUUAGAAGAAAAGAUGAUGUUAGAGAUCCUAGUUGGUAAAUGAAGGUCAAUCAAAGCAAUUCCAUAAAGGUAUUGAGAAAUUAAGAAGUCUUUAGAAGAAAAGAUGAUGUUAGAGAUCCUAGUUGGUAAAUGAAGGUCAAUCAAAGCAAUUCCAUAAAGGUAUUGAGAAAUUAAGAAGUCUUUAGAAGAAAAGAUGAUGUUAGAGAUCCUAGUUGGUAAAUGAAGGUCAAUCAAAGCAAUUCCAUAAAGGUAUUGAGAAAUUAAGAAGUCUUUAGGAGAAAAGAUGAUGUUAGAGAUCCUAGUUGGUAAAUGAAGGUCAAUCAAAGCAAUUCCAUCAGCAGAUCUAUCAAAUGAGUUGAGAAAUUUUCUUUCGCUUCCAAAACAAGUGGAAAGAGCUCACAAGAAAGGAGAUCGAUGCAAUAGUGAUUUGAUUAUGUUGUACUUUUUUAGACAAUCAUAUUUUUAUUGUAGAACAUUAGUUCAUCAUAAAUGUGACAAAAAAUAGACUUUACUUAGAAUUUCCUUAUCAAUAAUAUAAUAUUUUCUUUGACAAUGAA